rnacentral:rRNA from 1 species
GACGAACGCUGGCGGCAUGCCUUACACAUGCAAGUCGAACGGUAACAGGUCUUCGGAUGCUGACGAGUGGCGAACGGGUGAGUAAUACAUCGGAACGUGCCCGAUCGUGGGGGAUAACGAAGCGGAAGCUUUGCUAAUACCGCAUAAGAUCUACGGAUGAAAGCAGGGGACCGCAAGGCCUUGCGCGAACGGAGCGGCCGAUGGCAGAUUAGGUAGUUGGUGGGAUAAAAGCUUACCAAGCCGACGAUCUGUAGCUGGUCUGAGAGGACGACCAGCCACACUGGGACUGAGACACGGCCCAGACUCCUACGGGAGGCAGCAGUGGGGAAUUUUGGACAAUGGGCGAAAGCCUGAUCCAGCCAUGCCGCGUGCAGGAUGAAGGCCUUCGGGUUGUAAACUGCUUUUGUACGGAACGAAAAGACUCUUUCUAAUAAAGAGGGUCCAUGACGGUACCGUAAGAAUAAGCACCGGCUAACUACGUGCCAGCCGCCGCGGUAAAAC